rnacentral:piRNA from 1 species
UGUGGGUUGGACUUAAAAUACGAGGAGGU